CUACAGCGAUGGAGUGGCGACCCGUCCAGGGUGAACCUGCUGGGUGGCAACUGGUGGUUAAUGGCUGAACUGCGAGAAAAUAAAUUCUUCAAGAGGAAACACACAUCAUGGACAAAGAGCUUAAGUUUCUCUUUUGGUAUCCCUCUCCAUCCGCCCUCAAACGGUGCACAGCUGAAGAGAGAGAGGCCGGAUCUCCAGAACAACAAGGACACAGGUGGAAUCAACCAGCUAGACAUAGUUGGGCUUUCCUCUGCACUGCUCCGGCUCUGACUGGCUCUCUAAAUGCUCCAAAAUGUAAAGACAGAACUUUUUUUCUUACCCAGGUAUGGUUCUGGUUCUCUUCUAGAGUGGGUGUUGGUUCCACUCUCUGUAAGAAAAAUUAAAUAAAUGUUAAAGUUUGUAAUCAAAUUCUGAUAUACAGGAUGAGCAUCUGAUGUGCCGGUGAUAAAUCAC